rfam:Triticum urartu cultivar G1812 contig475148, whole genome shotgun sequence.
UUAGUACUCCCUCCGUCCGGAAAUACUUGUCCUUAGAAAUGAAUAAAAUGAAUGUAUCUAUAACUAAAAUAAGUCUAGAUACAACCAUUUCUAAGACAAGUAUUUUCGGACGGAGGGAGUAAUAA